UACGUAGGGGGCUAGCGUUGUCCGGAAUCAUUGGGCGUAAAGCGCGCGUAGGCGGCCCGGUAAGUCCGUUGUAAAAGUCAAAGGCUCAACCUUUGAAAGCCGAUGGAUACUGCCGGGCUCGAGUCCGGAAGAGGCGAGUAGAAUUCCUGGUGUAGCGGUGGAAUGCGCAGAUAUCAGGAGGAAUACCCAUAGCGAAGGCAGCUCGCUGGGACGGUACUGACGCUGAGGCGCGAAAGCGUGGGGAGCGAACAGGAUUAGAAACCCCCGUAGUCC
rnacentral:rRNA from 1 species